GCUUGAAACUCCAGGGCUGAAAAUGAGUCCCACUCCGGCCCUGAUUGACACUGUACCAGUUUAUAGGGAACACGCUGGUGUUUUGUGACGUGCACACACACCCAUUGAUCCUAGCGUCAAGCAUACCCAGAAUUAUGAGACAAACAUAUUCUUAGUCAUCUUUCUGAUCACCAUGAUGCGAGCAUUGGUUAAUUUUGUUAUCAGAAGAAAAUAUGCAUCUUAAAUUUUAAAGAACAUAAUGGAAAACAAAAAUAAUGAGUCAGGAUGUGGUGGUCCAAAAUAACAAAGUCCAAUAACUCUAAAAAAAAAAAAAAAGCCACAAGGCACUGAUGUCUGUAUAGCUCAGUAAAUUAGCUGCGCAGAUUGGAAUCAGGUGGCAGCAAUCUGCAAACAAAAGAAAUUAGGAAACUAAAAAAAAAAAAAAAAAAAACACAGGACGUAGCACAAGUAUAAAUGCAUGCCAUUCUCUCCCUCACACACACACACACACACACACACACACACACAUUUUUAAAUACAACAACUUAAUUCUCACCUCUUCUGUGUUUUGCAUGACCCAAAUGACACAAACCAAACAAGAUGAGCAGCUCAAGUGGAAGUGACCUUGACUUUGUUGCCACUCAAGAGUUCAACAUCAGCAUGAAAAGAAUUGAAACAUUUUUGGUAUGCCAAGUAGACGAGUUACGGGAAUCGCAUAGAACCCUCAGAGAAGCAACGGAGACCUUGACAGAAAGAGAUCUUCCCGCUGUACAGAGUGAGCUGUCUGCUCUGAAAUCCACCAUCACAGACCAGGGCAGGCAAAUGGAGAAGCGACAGAGGCAACCGACAGCACCAACGAUGAAAGCGCCACCGACAACAGCGACAAGGAUAGUGACAACAUAGCCUCGCAGGCACCUGCUUUGUCUAUGCCAAAAGAAAGAGGAGUGAAGAAGACCUGGAUGACCUCCUGCAGCUAUUUUGGCCCACAAAUGCAAGAAUCAGGGAGCAGCUGAAUGAAAGGCAACAAGCCCAUGAAGGAAAGACUCCCGAUUACAAUAAUGCUAAAGAGAUGCGAGACGCCACCCAUUUACAAGAUGGAAAUAUGUCAGAGCUCAAAAGAAGAAGAUUAAGUGACAGACAGUCUGAGCAUGUUGUUGAUGUUACUGAGAGGAGCCAGGAAAAUAGCCCACAGCUACGUACAAUCGUGAGCCAAUGGACAGUGACUGAAAGAAUGAGAGAUUGGGAGUUUAUUAAAAUAUAUUCAUUCAUUUGCUGUUCGGCUUAGUCC